CUGGCCUCGUCAUUGGGAUCUUAAUUGGCAUAUUGACUACUAGAAAGGGGCACAAAGGAAGUUUCUGGGUAAAGGAUAUGUUGUAUACCCUGAUUUAUACAAAGAUUUUUUGCAGAGUUUAAGUAUUUGAUAUAUUAAACGCACUGAAAAUAUAUCCCUGUAUUGUUUGUCUUUUAAGAUAUUUUAUAUAAUUUUAAAAUUUUAAUAAUAUAUUUAUAUUUUUGUUUGACAUUAUUUUCUUUCCAGCACAGCCUUGAUGUUUAUCACUCCCAAAUGACUUAUGGAAGCUGAUGCAGCACACAUUUUCAGUACUGGCAUACAGAAGGUACUCAAUAAGCAGAUUGAAAGCAUAAAUAAUGUUAUCAUUCACACUGUGGCAAAGAACUAUAAAACCAUGUUGAAGAAACUGAAUAGAAGACUUUAAAGAAACAAAGAUUCCUGGAUUCAGGAGUAAUCAAAUCAUAGGAAGAACAUACGUUUUAGACUGUGAGAUACAGCUAUAAAUUGAGACAGGUUGUGUCCCAGGUAUGGAUUUUUAAAAAAAAUGUUUGCUUCAGGCUUGUAAUCUACUGAAUGAUGGGUUAUGGGCUUA
rnacentral:lncRNA from 1 species